UUAACCGAAUAGGGGAGCCGGAGGGAAACCGAGUCUUAAUUGGGCGUUAAGUUGCAGGGUAUAGACCCGAAACCCGGUGAUCUAGCCAUGGGCAGGUUGAAGGUUGGGUAACACUAACUGGAGGACCGAACCGACUAAUGUUGAAAAAUUAGCGGAUGACUUGUGGCUGGGGGUGAAAGGCCAAUCAAACCGGGAGAUAGCUGGUUCUCCCCGAAAGCUAUUUAGGUAGCGCCUCGUGAACUCAUCUUCGGGGGUAGAGCACUGUUUCGGCUAGGGGGUCAUCCCGACUUACCAACCCGAUGCAAACUGCGAAUACCGAAGAAUGUUAUCACGGGAGACACACGGCGGGUGCUAACGUCCGUCGUGAAGAGGGAAACAACCCAGACCGCCAGCUAAGGUCCCAAAGUCACAGUUAAGUGGGAAACGAUGUGGGAAGGCCCAGACAGCCAGGAUGUUGGCUUAGAAGCAGCCAUCAUUUAAAGAAAGCGUAAUAGCUCACUGGUCGAGUCGGCCUGCGCGGAAGAUGUAACGGGGCUAAACCAUGCACCGAAGCUGCGGCAGCGACGCUGAUGCGUUGUUGGGUAGGGGAGCGUUCUGUAAGCCUGUGAAGGUGGCCUGUGAGGGUUGCUGGAGGUAUCAGAAGUGCGAAUGCUGACAUAAGUAACGAUAAAGCGGGUGAAAAGCCCGCUCGCCGGAAGACCAAGGGUUCCUGUCCAACGUUAAUCGGGGCAGGGUGAGUCGACCCCUAAGGCGAGGCCGAAAGGCGUAGUCGAUGGGAAACGGGUUAAUAUUCCCGUACUUGGUGUUACUGCGAAGGGGGGACGGAGAAGGCUAUGUUGGCCGGGCGACGGUUGUCCCGGUUUAAGCGUGUAGGCUGGUUUUCCAGGCAAAUCCGGAAAAUCAAGGCUGAGGCGUGAUGACGAGGC
rnacentral:rRNA from 1 species